rnacentral:rRNA from 1 species
UGGGGAAUAUUGGACAAUGGGCGAAAGCCUGAUCCAGCCAUGCCGCGUGUGUGAAGAAGGUCUUCGGAUUGUAAAGCACUUUAAGUUGGGAGGAAGGGCAGUAAAUUAAUACUUUGCUGUUUUGACGUUACCGACAGAAUAAGCACCGGCUAACUCUGUGCCAGCAGCCGCGGUAAUACAGAGGGAUGUCAAGCGAUUAAUCGGAAGU